rnacentral:tRNA from 1 species
GGGCCCGUGGGGUAGCAAGGUCAUCCUGCCGGACUCCAGCUCCGGUGACGGGGGUUCAAAUCCCCCCGGGCCCACCA